rnacentral:lncRNA from 13 species
UCAGAUUCUAGAGGCACCUGCAUUCCUUGGCUUGUGGCCUCUUCCUCCAUCUUAAAGUGGAUCACUCCAAGUUCUGCUUCUGUCAUCACAUCGCCUUUUCCUCCAGCUCUGACUCCUCCUGCAUUUGUCUGAGAAGGAUAAUCCAGGAUAUUCUCCCCAACUCAAGAUCCAUCUAUAAAGUCUCAGGAUUACGGAGGCAGAGCCGUGUGGAUGUUCACUGGUUCAAACAUAGUCACGCAUCUUCUUACAGAGUGGAGUCAUGUCAGCUACGUUGCUGUAUUAUCAAUUUUUCUGUCUUGGAGAUUUUUCCACAUUGGUUCAUUUUGAUGUCACUAGAUUUUGUUCAUCUGCUAACUGU